UACGGAGGAUCCGAGCGUUAUCCGGAUUUAUUGGGUUUAAAGGGUGCGCAGGCGGGAGAUUAAGUCGGCGGUGAAAUUUUGCAGCUCAACUGUAAAAGUGCCUUCGAAACUGGUUUCCUUGAGUGUAGAUGAAGUAGGCGGAAUUUGUGGUGUAGCGGUGAAAUGCAUAGAUAUCACGAGGAACUCCGAUUGCGCAGGCAGCUUACUAAACUACUACUGACGCUCAGGCACGAAGGUGUGGGGAUCAAACAGGAUUAGAUACCCGCGUAGU
rnacentral:rRNA from 1 species